rnacentral:rRNA from 1 species
UUGACGCUGGCGGCAGGCCUACACAUGCAAGUCGAGCGGAAACGAGUUUCUGAACCUUCGGGGAACGAUAACGGCGUCGAGCGGCGGACGGGUGAGUAAUGCCUAGGAAAUUGCCCUGAUGUGGGGGAUAACCAUUGGAAACGAUGGCUAAUACCGCAUGAUGCCUACGGGCCAAAGAGGGGGACCUUCGGGCCUCUCGCGUCAGGAUAUGCCUAGGUGGGAUUAGCUAGUUGGUGAGGUAAGGGCUCACCAAGGCGACGAUCCCUAGCUGGUCUGAGAGGAUGAUCAGCCACACUGGAACUGAGACACGGUCCAGACUCCUACGGGAGGCAGCAAGUGGGGAAUUUUGCACAAUGGGCGCAAGCCUGAUGCACCCAUGCCGCGUGUUGUGAAGAAGGCCUUUCGGGUUGUAAAGCACUUUCAGUCGUGAGGAAGAUUGGUAGUGUUAAUAGCACNAAUCAUUUAACGUUAGCGACAGAAGAAGCACCGGCUAACUCCGUGCCAGCAGCCGCGGUAAUACGGAGGGUGCGAGCGUUAAUCGGAAUUACUGGGCGUAAAGCAGCAUGCAGGUGGUUUGUUAAGUCAGAUGUGAAAGCCCGGGGCUCAACCUCGGAAUAGCAUUUGAAACUGGCAGACAUAGAGUACUGUAGAGGGGGGUAGAAUUUCAGGUGUAGCGGUGAAAUGCGUAGAGAUCUGAAGGAAUACCGGGGCGAAGGCGGCCCCCUGGACAGAUACUACACUCAGAUGCGAAAGCGUGGACAACA